GAUGAUCUGUCUUCACUGGUGUAAGUACCACCUGGCAUUAGUCAUAUCCAUUCCUUGGUAUUUCAUUUACUUGCUGAUCUCAUUUGGUCAUAUAAGCACGCCAAAGCCGCUUGUUUCCUGGAGUACGGUAUGAUAAUGUUUAGGAUUUUACGGAUGUCCUAUUUACAUACAUCUGAGUUGCUUCUCUCCUGCUGCGAGUGUAGUGAAUCUUUGUGCUGCUGAGUUGGUGACAAGUUUAGCAGAGGUGAAAUGCUUUAAAUAUGGAGGGGGACGGAAGAAAAAAGCAAGAUUGGAAUAGUCAGGUGCAACACCCAAGUCGGUCCGAACACCACCGCCAUGAAUUAAAAAAAACAAGAAUUUGAGACUUGAUUUUGGAUCAAUUGACUACGCCUUGUAAGCAAAAGAGAUGAGGGAGUGAAAGGUGGAGGGAAUAUCCGGACGGCGAGGAUGGGAGUGUGGAAAAACAGAAGUGGCUUGAUGAGAUGGAGGAGCUGCAGUCAUCACUUGUUUGGAUGGUUUGUACGUUUAUUUUGAUU